UACAAGGUGCCUGAACCACGUGACUUUUUCGGCUAUGUGUGGGACAAUCGGAUGUAAACAAAACGUCGCUUCAGAAUGCCAUUUGUUUGCGAACAGUGUGGCAGAGAGGUCAAAACACGGUCGGGGAUCUCCUAACACAAAGCCACCCACGCACGGACAGGAAAAUAGGAGAUUAAAGUAUUUUUGGAAGCACCUUCAAGAGACGUACUGAUAUCUUGAUCAAUGAAAAGUUGUCAUAUACAAACGUGUAUAGUAAAUGUUCC